rnacentral:misc_RNA from 1 species
GAACGCAUAUUGCACCCUCAGGUCUUUUCCAGAGGGUAUGCCUGUUUGAGUGUCAUUAAAUACAUCAAUGUAGACUUGUCUUUUGACUUGCUCUACACUUGGAAGUUGAAGGCUUGCUGGUUGUCAUGAUCAGCUCCUUUUAAAUUCAUUAGCGGGACUUUUGAAGACUUGGCUUCAGUUUGAUACAAUGUCUAUGCUGUCGCUAAGGAACGGUUUAGUCUGGCUUAUAAUUGUCCUUUGGGACUGCCUCUAGUGGGCAUAACAAACUUUGACUCUUGACCUCAAAUCAGGUAGGACUACCCGCUGAACUUA